rnacentral:rRNA from 2 species
AAAACGACUCUCGGCAACGGAUAUCUCGGCUCUCGCAUCGAUGAGGAACGUAGCGAAAUGCGAUACUUGGUGUGAAUUGCAGAAUCCCGUGAACCAUCGAGUCUUUGAACGCAAGUUGCGCCCCAAGCCUUCUGGCCGAGGGCACGUCUGCCUGGGUGUCACAA